GGCUGCUGCUUGGUUCAAAGGUGUGCCACGUCGGAUUUGUUUGGACUGCAAUGAUACCGUUAAUAAAUUAUUUCAUAAAUGCUUUGUGAGCAUUGUCCACCAGAGCCACCAUAGUCACGUGCCCACCAGAGCCAAUCACUGCACACCAUAGCCACGUGCGCACCAGAGCCAAUCACUGCAGAGCUUUAGACCUGCAGCGGCGCAAACUGGACCGGGAUUUUGCUGACGGUUCCGUCCUGUUCUGUGCAUCUAAGCUGACUGUUGUGGAUUAAUGAGACUAAACGAGUCCGGACCGAGUCUGUUCCGGUCUGAGGAGAUCCAGAGGACAACAAAGUGGACCUGGAAUCUGUGGAUGUUCGUGUGUAGCUAGCUGCUAGCUGCUAGCCCAACCCCACAUGGCCCACCUCCCCAGUCGACGGACGCACCGGCAGGUCCAAAUCCGGAUUUAGGAAAACCCUGGAUUUGUGGAAAAAAAGGACACUCGACUAGCUGACAGACUAAUAUUGCCGUUCAUAGUCCUGCUAUAGCCUGGAUAAAGUCUAAGCUGCCUGAAACACAAAGUGAGAGACCCAUCCAUGGAGGAGGCUGUUGGAAAGACCCCCACCCAACAAAUGGUUCAGUCCAUCCCCACCUGACCACAACAGCUCCAAGGGGAAAUGUUUUUUGACCAGACAAGUCUACAAAACCUUUUUGCCGAGCUCUUUGGACUGGGAGGAUUUGCCUUUCUCUGAAAGUCUGAGUUUUUGUGUGAGGAAAACAAAAGAUGUAGACAUUGUUUGUGAAACAAAGCCACAUGUAAAUAUGCAAAAUCAGAAAGAAACAGCAAAAAACAACCUGGAAAUUAGAUCACAAGUGCAACUGUCAUUUUCUCUUCCCCUGACUGCUCUCCACUUGAUCGGCUGUAACGUAAGUUUGUUACUGAUUGGGUACUGCUGCUACAUCCAAGGACCAAAUUAAAAUAUCAAAUUCUUGACAGACUUUUUAAAAAAAUGUUUGUAUUAUUAGGGCCCGAGCACUAUCUGUGCGAGGACCAUAUUGUUUCUACAAGUUCAAAUUGUUCAUAGAGUAAAACCACAAGCCGCACACACGCUUUUUCCUUUUCUGUGAUCACAUUAAAAGCAUAAUCAUUAAUAUUUCAAGUUCAGAGAGCAUUUUUAGGCUCGGACUGAAUUAGCUGAAAACA